GACGGAAGGUGCAAGCGUUGCUCGGAAUCACUGGGCGUAAAGGGUGCGUAGGCGGCUUGGUAAGUUGGGUGUGAAAGCCCCGGGCUCAGCCCGGGAAGGGCACUCGAAACUGCCGAGCUGGAGUGCCGGAGGGGAGAGUGGAAUUCCUGGUGUAGCGGUGAAAUGCGUAGAUAUCAGGAGGAAUACCGGUGGCGAAGGCGGUUCUCUGGGCCUUACCUGACGCUGAGGAGCGAAAGCGUGGGGAGCAAACGGG
rnacentral:rRNA from 1 species